rnacentral:lncRNA from 1 species
AGAUUCUGUAUGCUUUAUGGAUCCACCAGACAUCAUGUUGCCUGGAGAAGGCCCAUCAGUUGAGGAGGAUGAGGAGACUGUCUGUAUGUUCAAGGAGGCCUGAGGAUGCUGACUGUUCUAGAGCCCCCUCAGUCUGGGACCACAUGUGACAAAAAUCCAGAAAACAUAAAAGGAGUGUAUAAACGCUACCUCCUUAAACAAAUGGAAGCGAUUGAUAUCGACAUCCAGUAUAAAAAACUGAAGAUGAGGAAGUUGGAGCUGGAAAUUCAACAGCUACAGAAAAAUGCAAGUAGAACUACCAUUUUUAGAAAGGGGAAAAAAAAUUACCUUUUUGAUCACUUUCCACAACAUUUAUUUGUGUUUUCACCCCUAACAGGCAGAUUCACUCUGAAUAAAGACAAAUCACAUUAAAUACUUUGACUUCUGUGUGUUUGUUCAACUACGGAGAAAGUUGAGGGGCCAGUGGAAAACGUUUAGACCAUUAUUAAGCAAAAUAAUUAUUUGCAUAUGUGUCUCGUAUAAGUCUGCCUGUUUCGUUUUCUUCCAAUACUGCUUCAUUGCCCCAGUCUUCCUCUUCAACAAUCCUUGGUUGCCUCUCUCUCCUCAGACAAGCAAUGUUAUGGAGCACUACACAAGCAACUACAAUGUCACAUGCCCUAGGUGGAGUCACUCUGAGGUGCUUCAGGCACUGGAACCUUGACUUUAUCAGCCCAAAUGCCAUCUCUAUGCGACCCCUUGUGUGUGCAUGGGCAAUGUUGUAGCGGUGCUGUGCCUCUGUCUGGGGCUCCUGAUAGGGACUCAAGAGGUAAGUUAGGCAUGGGUAUCCCUUGUCUCCCAGCAAAACUCCUGAGAAUUCUCCUCCAUAGACAGAAUGAAUAUAUACAGAUAUAUAUAUAUAUAUAUAUAUAUAUAUAUAUAUAUAUAAUAUAUAUAUAUAUAUAUAUAUAUAUAUAUAUAUAUAUAUAGUGUAGUGUGUUUUUUUUUUUUUUAAGAAUUUUUGCAAUUUAAGUGAUUACUAGCAUACCUCUUGCUAGUUGCUGGUAGAGAGAUGAGGCUCUAAAGAUUCUGGAGUCAUGCACAGAGCCUGGCCAUUUGGCUUCUACAUUUGUGAAGCAAUCUGCAUCACUAAUCAUCUAAAAUAAAUUAAACCUGUAGGUCACUACAUUUUAAUUGCAAUGAACUAAACACUGGUGCCCAGCUUAGUACAGAACACUCAGUGCUAGAGCAUAGCCUUCAAUAUCAUCUCAGUGGGACCGUACCUGUACAUUGAUGCUGUGUACUGAUUUCCUAUUUACAAAGUCCGCUUCAUGUGGACCAGACGGACACUUAAUACGCACAUGGGUGCAGUCCAAUGCACCGAUAACAUUUGGGAAACCUAGGAAAAUUAUUUGUUUGUUUUAAAUAUGUCCCAUGUAAAAAUCAACAGUCAAGAAAUAUUUUCAUGUUUUAUAGUUAUUUGAACUUACCAGCUAUUCCAUAAAAGGCAUGUUUAAUUGAGUAGUCUUUUUAAAGAAAGGUACACAGUUCGUACAGAGACGGCAAACUGAUGCUUUGCUGAUAUUCUCUGCAUCUCCAACUGUGUACAAAAAUGUUCCACUGGCAAAAAAGCGAAGUGCAAUGCACACCGUCUGUGGGACUGUGAGCGCUCUGUUGUGGCGUGUAUUAUUUGCAAUGUAUGGGUUUAGUAAUCUACAAAUAUAUGCAAUCCCAUGUCUUGAGAACCUAUAUCGCUCAUACAGGUAGCUGUCAUUAAAAGCCAAUGGGUCUGACCUGUCUCUGAAAGUUCUCUCUCUUUGAAAUGCCCUCCGCAAGACUAUAGCUCCCUCAUCCACCACCUCAUCUAUGAAAGGACACGCCAUGAUUAAGUUUGGAGACGAGUUCAGCUCCCUAUUUAUAUACUUUUAAUUAAUUAAUUACCAAACUCAUUAACCAAACUCAAUUAAACACAAGUUUUGAACAUUUCUUAGUGUAUUUAUACCUUAUAAUUUCUUACAUUUAUUAGUAAAGUACAUUUCCUUUAUUUAUUUAUUUAUUUAAAAAAUGUAUUAAUAGUGGUUAAGUAAAAUAAAAUUACAUCGAAAUACUAGCAGGUGAGUAUAAAUGGUAUGCUCGUUAAGCCUGAACUCAGACUUAGCCUGACAGUUAGCCUGCACCGGACCAGGUUAAUUUGCCAGCAUAAGUUGCCGGGGUAACUGAGUUUGAACCUUUUUUAGUUUGAUUUAUGAAACCGAAUCUACCAAAAAUAAGCCUGACUAACCGAAAUAAGCCUGGCUUAUACUCUAAUCUUGGUUUAUGGAACAGCCCCCAGGCCUGGAUUUUAUUUUGUGUUUGGUUUUUGUUUGUGUGCGGCAGUCGACCGUGAGGGGCUGUCGCGCUGUUUUAUGUUAAUUUGGUUAUUAAAGUUUUAUUUGAGUGUCCGCCUGUGUUCUGUCGAUUUGUCAUACGCUGUCAGAUUUUCCUACCUCCCAUUAAAACAGUGGGUAGUACAAUUCGACAGCGAAAAAUGCUGCCGAUAAAAUUAUGGUUUAUUAACAUCUACACAUACCAUAACCCUAAACCUACCCUUACAGUAAUGCAAAUACAGUAAUUAUGUGUUAUAUUCGCGGUUGAAGCAAUAAGGGAUACAUUUACAGGAAACCAGCUAA